CGNGACGGGUGAGUAACACGUGGGUAACCUACCUAUAAGACUGGGACAACUUCGGGAAACCGGAGCUAAUACCGGAUAAGAUAUCGAACCGCAUGGUUCGAUAGUGAAAGAUGGUUUUGCUAUCACUUAUAGAUGGACCCGCGCCGUAUUAGCUAGUUGGUGAGGUAACGGCUCACCAAGGCAACGAUACGUAGCCGACCUGAGAGGGUGAUCGGCCACACUGGAACUGAGACACGGUCCAGACUCCUACGGGAGGCAGCAGCC
rnacentral:rRNA from 1 species